rnacentral:tRNA from 3 species
GUCGGAGUGGCGGAAUAGGCAGACGCGCCAGGUUGAGGGCCUGGUGCCCGAAUAGGGCGUAGGGGUUCAAGUCCCCUCUCCGACACCA